UCGCCUGUUUUAUCAAAAACAUCUUCUCUUUUCAAUAAGAGAUAGACUCUGCUCAAUGAUUUAAAUAGCCGCAGUAUUUUGACUGUGCUAAGGUAGCAUAAUAAUUUGUCUUAUAAUAGAAGACUGGAAUGAAAGAGUUGACGUCACUGCAGCUUUCUUAAGAAAAUUUAUAGAACUUGAUAUCUUCCUCAAAAAGUGAAGCUUUCUAAAGGGACGAUAAGACCCUAUAAAGCUUUACUAAUAAGAUUUUUUAGGACUCUCAAUUUAAAAAAUUUAGUUGGUUGAGCUGGGGCGGCAUCUAUUACUCUUUAGAAAAUAAAACAAUGUUAUUUGGUGAGAAAGAUCUUUAAAAAGAUUUAGAAUAAGCUACUUUAGGGAUAACAGCACAAUUUUACCAUAAAGAUCUUAUUGAAGGUAAAGACUUGUGACCUCGAUGUUGAAUUGAAGAGCUUUCUUUAAGCAGAAAUAAAGAUAAGGUGGUCUGUUCGACCUUUAAUUCUUCACGUGAUCUGAGUUCAGACCGG
rnacentral:rRNA from 1 species